GUGGACUAUUCCUAGGAAGGCUCUCCUCUCAAUUCCCUAUUUGUUUCUAAUGCAGAAUCAGACUUGUACAGCUAGAUGGUACCUUCAGUUUUCUAAAUCUAUUUGCAACAAGAUAUCACUAUUCAUUCCUCCAUAUACACCCAUAUACUGGGAAUUGCCUAACACUCAAAGCAGAGAUGAAGUCCUGAACAGCUCAAGAAAUUAUGCUCCAAACAGGAGGCAUUCUCUCAUAAAAAUAUAUCCUAUCAGGGCUGGGGAUAUAGCUGAGUUGGUAGAGUGCUUGCCUCAUACGCACAAGGCCCUGGAUUCCAUCCCCAGCAACACACACACACACACACACACACACACUUCCUAUUAAAAGGUAUCCUUGUUGAUAAACGCUGAAAAAAAAUUGAUCUAUCAAGUCUGUCUAGACCAUAGAAUGCCUUGAUGGGAGGAAGUGUUUCCAUUAUAUUCCUCCUACCCAUCAGAAGCAGGCAACUUAUCACUGUGAACUGGGUAUUUUUGUUUGUAGUUAGUCUAGGGAGGAAUGAGAAGGGUCAAGUGGAUCUAAUCUGGCUGGAUCUAGCUGGCAGAUGACACUGUUGUGGAAGAAAAUCAAGGGAGGCAAGGAAGCCUGAUUCAAGCAAGGAAAUAACCUGUGGUGAUUUUAGUUUUCCAAUGACAAUGUUUUUUUGAUCCUCUUUGGGACUUUCUACACAAUUUGUUUUUUAAAAGGUAGGUUUGGGCUGCUUUUCUUUUCUUUUAAGCUGUUUUAUAAUAGAGACAGGAGGGAUGGGUCUCUGCCUCUCCCAAGCGAAUAGACCAGUCAGCCUCUAAAACCCACAGGGAUGACAUCA
rnacentral:lncRNA from 1 species